UUGUUAGUKGCCAGCAUUCAGUUGGGCACUCUAAUGAGACUGCCGGUGACAAACCGGAGGAAGGUGGGGAUGCGUCCAAAUCAUCAUGCCCCUUAUGACCUGGGCUACACACGUGCUACAAUGGAUGGUACAACGAGCAGCAAGACCGCGAGGUCAAGCGAAUCUCUUAAAGCCAUUCUCAGUUCGGAUUGCAGGCUGCAACUCGCCUGCAUGAAGCCGGAAUCGCUAGUAAUCGCGGAUCAGCACGCCGCGGUGAAUACGUUCCCGGGUCUUGUACACACCGCCCGUCACACCACGAGAGUUUGUAACACCCGAAGUCGGUGAGGUAACCUUUUUGGAGCCAGCCGCCUAAGGUGGGACAGAUGAUUGGGGUGAAGUCGUAACAAGGUAACC
rnacentral:rRNA from 1 species